UCCCGACCCUUAGAGCAUCGACCCCUGCAUCGAUCAGAUUCUUCGCCUGAGCAGCCGUCACCACUGAAGCAAACAGACGAAGAUGGGCUCUCAGACUAACCUAUCGACAGCAAGGGCACGUGCAAACUGCUGUGCCCAAAUGAUUAGAGACAUGGGGCUGACAGGACAGACUGCUGAGAAGUUCCAUAUUGGUCCCUCUGUGUUAUUUGUUUUAAGUAUCAGGUAAUUAAAGGACACAGUACUGUUAUUUCACAC